GGCACUGGAUCAACACAUUAUGGUCCUGUUCAGGGAUGGCUGCCCCUGUGGCACAGAGGAGUAUGCAGCAUUUGGAUUUGGGGUUUGGCAGCAGCUGAGCAAGCUGGGUUCAGAUUGUUUCAUUUUUGCUUUUAGAUUCUGGCUACUUGUUCAGUGGAAGCCGACCGGCCUCGCUGUCAUCCCAGUCCAAGGAGUCCCCUGCAUCAGAUCCCUUGUCCCUGCUGUCUGGCAGCGCUGUCCCCUCCCGCAUCCCGUCCCCGGCGCCGUCGGUGGCCGGCUCGGUGGCCUCGGGCUCGGUGGCCUCCAGCUCAGGGUCGCUGCGCUUGCGCCGGCCGCUCAUCAGCCCUGCCCGCCUCAACCUCCAGGGACAGAAGCUGCUGCUGUUCCCGGCACAGAACGAGGCCCUGCUCACCCCGAGCGGCUCCGAGGAGCAAACCCCCUCCGACAGCAACGCCUCUGCCCCCGAGCUGCCCGGCUUGGCCAGGACGACCCUCGCGGAGCGGGGAGUGCCCGGUACGCUGCCAGCGCUGCCCGUUCCCCGCAGCAAACACAGCCCUGCAACUUCCAGGCCACAACAGAUGGGAAACCUUCAGGAGAGGCCCGGCUGGUGAAGUUUCCUGUCUUUUUCUCCUUGCAGAUAUGA
ensembl:lncRNA